rnacentral:rRNA from 1 species
AGUGAACGCUGGCGGCAGGCCUAACACAUGCAAGUCGAGCGGAGCGGCGGACGGGUGAGUAAUGCCUAGGAAUCUGCCUGGUAGUGGGGGAUAACGUCCGGAAACGGGCGCUGAUACCGCAUACUAUCAGAUGAGCCUAGGUCGGCUUAGCUAUUUGGUGGGGUAAAGGCCUACCAAGGCGACGAUCCGUAACUGUUCUGAGAGGAUGAUCGGUCAAACUGGGACGGAGAAACGGUCCAAACGCCUACGGGAGGCAGCAGUGGGGAAUAUUGGAAAAUGGGCGAAAGCCUGAUCCAGCCAUGCCGCGUGUGUGAAGAAGGUCUUCGGAUUGUAAGGCACUUUAAGUUGGGAGGCGUUACCAACAGAAUAAGCACCGGCUAACUUCGUGCCAGCCGCCGCGGUAAUUC